rnacentral:rRNA from 1 species
AUUGAACGCUGGCGGCAGGCCUAACACAUGCACGUCGAGCGGAGCGGCGGACGGGUGAGUAAUGCCUAGGAAUCUGCCUGGUAGUGGGGGAUAACGUCCGGAAACGGGCGCUAAUACCGCAUACUAUCAGAUGAGCCUAGGUCGGAUUAGCUAGUUGGUGGGGUAAAGGCCUACCAAGGCGACGAUCCGUAACUGGUCUGAGAGGAUGAUCAGUAACAGUGGAAGUGAGACGCGGUACAGAAUCAUACGGGAGGCAGGAGGGGGGAAUAAGGGAAAAGGGGAGAAAGCCAGAACCAGCCAUGCCGCGUGUGAAGAAGGUAUUCGGAUUGUAAAGCACUUUAAGUUGGGAGGCGUUACCAACAGAAUAAGCACCGGCUAACUUCGUGCCAGCAGCCGCGGUAAUUC